CGGUGCCAACCAGCAAGCUGUACAGCGCCGAGAUGAAGCAGAGGGCAAUGCUGAAACAAUAUAUAAGCUAUUAUAUAUUGAUUAGAUUGCAUGCCCUCGAUUAAUUACAAUAACUCAAUGAAAAACCAUCCAAAGAAAUGCUUACUCCAAUUGAUGAUACACGUCGCUGCAAUCGUCUGGUAAAAGGACAGUGCCAAUGAGUAUGAACGGAUGGCAGACACUGGUCAUGGUUAAAUUGGAGCCAUAGAUAAAAGCCACUGCAGAGAAGAACAGGCAUCCCAUGUACCAUUUCAAGUUACUGGAGCCUAUGCAACAAUCCAACCUAUGGUAGAAAAUAUAGUUUGUAUCAUUUCAUUAGAUAGGGAUUACUUUCUGUACAAAGAAAAAAUAUACCAUUUACAAUGAUAUUCCCUA